CCAAUAGCGUAUAUUAAAGUUGUUGCAGUUAAAAAGCUCGUAGUUGAAUUUCGGGAUCAGUACGCUGGUCGUGCCUUCGGUAUGUACUGGUGUUACUGGUUCCUACCUUCUGACGAACCGUCAUGUCAUUAAUUUGGUGUGGCGGGAAAUCAGGACUGUUACUUUGAAAAAAUUAGAGUGUUUAAAGCAGGCUCGCGCUUGAAUACAUUAGCAUGAAAUAAUGAAAUAGGACGUUCGAUCCUAUUUUGUUGGUUUCUAGGAUUGACGUAAUGAUUAAUAGGGAUAGUUGGGGGCAUUAGUAUUCAAUUGUCAGAGGUGAAAUUCUUGGAGUUAUUGAAGACUAACUACUGCGAAAGCAUUUGCCAAGGAUGUUUUCAUUAAUCAAGAACGAAAGUUAGGGGAUCGAAGACGAUCAGAUACCGUCGUAGUCUUAACCAUAAACUAUGCCGACUAGGGAUCGGAUGAUGUUAUUUUUAAUGACUCAUUCGGCGCCUUACG
rnacentral:misc_RNA from 1 species